GAGAUCGCAUGUCGAAGUCUGACGGAGCACGCCGCGUGAGUGAUGAAGGCUUUCGGGUCGUAAAACUCUGUUGUUAGGGAAGAACAAGUGCUAGUUGAAUAAGCUGGCACCUUGACGGUACCUAACCAGAAAGCCACGGCUAACUACGUGCCAGCAGCCGCGGUAAUACGUAGGUGGCAAGCGUUAUCCGGAAUUAUUGGGCGUAAAGCGCGCGCAGGUGGUUUCUUAAGUCUGAUGUGAAAGCCCACGGCUCAACCGUGGAGGGUCAUUGGAAACUGGGAGACUUGAGUGCAGAAGAGGAAAGUGGAAUUCCAUGUGUAGCGGUGAAAUGCGUAGAGAUAUGGAGGAACACCAGUGGCGAAGGCGACUUUCUGGUCUGUAACUGACACUGAGGCGCGAAAGCGUGGGGAGCAAACAGGAUUAGAUACCCUGGUAGUCCACGCCGUAAACGAUGAGUGCUAAGUGUUCCUAGGGUU
rnacentral:rRNA from 1 species